AGCUCUUCUGAUCUAGAAAACAAAGCACAUGCUGCUCAGUGGCUUACGGAAGUUUCUGGUCCAUAAUAUCAAGGAGCUUGAAGUGCUGCUGAUGUGCAAUAAGUCUUACUGUGCUGAGAUUGCUCACAACGUCUCCUCAAAGAACUGCAAAGCCAUUGUGGAAAUAGCAGCCCAGCUGGCCAUCAGAGUCAUCAAUGCCAGUGCCAGGUCACGCAAUGAAGAAAAUGAAUAGACAGAUUGUGUACACAUUGUAUUUGUGUUAAUAAAAUCAUAAAAUUCUGCAAAAAAAAAAAAAA